rnacentral:rRNA from 1 species
AUAUUGGGCAAUGGGGGAAACCCUGACCCAGCAACGCCGCGUGAAGGACGAAGGCCUUCGGGUUGUAAACUUCUUUGAUCAGGGACGAAAGCAAUGACGGUACCUGAAGAACAAGCCACGGCUAACUACGUGCCAGCAGCCGCGGUAAUACGUAGGUGGCGAGCGUUAUCCGGAUUUACUGGGUGUAAAGGGCGUGUAGGCGGGUUUGCAAGUCGGGUGUGAAAGAUUCGGGCUUAACCCGGAGAGGUCAUCCGAAACUGCAGAUCUUGAGUGCUGGAGAGGAUAGUGGAAUUCCUGGUGUAGCGGUAAAAUGCGUAGAGAUCAGGAGGAACACCAGUGGCGAAGGCGGCUAUCUGGACAGUAACUGACGCUGAGGCGCGAAAGCGUGGGGAGCAAACAGG